CAGCAGCCGGUGUCUAGACUUGACCUCUGCAAAGCCUUAGCUGCAACUCUAGGAUUCUCUGCAGCGAGACCCCCUCGCAAUGUGACUGGUAGUAGGUCCUUGCUCCGACUAGCGUGGGUGACGGAGGCUUGCCCGGGGAGCGGAGGUCGUACCGACGCAGCUGCCUGCGCUGGGCAUCUGCCCUGUGGGAGUUUCCAAUCCUGUCUUCUGGGGUUCAAAGGGGAGUGUUGGUAUUGCAGUCAACCAAUUGCUUCAUGGUGCUGUCACAGCCACCCAGGGCAAGCCAGGACAAGGGAAGAACUAUUUAUGGACACCUACACGGGGCCAGAUGAACGUGGGGCCGAGAGGUUCAGCAGCUUUCCCCGUGUCACACAGCCUACAGGAACUCAACUUGGAUUCGCCCAACAUCAAUGCUCCUUCGAUGCCGGACUGGUUCUCUUUUCAGCACUCUGCUUGCCCGAAGCCGAUGAGAGGAACCAAUAAGGAGAGCUGUGUACUCACAGAUAAAAUACAAUGUCUGAUAUUUGCUUCCAGAUGACACAAGAUUACAAUGAGGAGGAGGAGAUCGAAAAAUAGAUGAAAUGACUGCUGUGAGGUGAUCAGUGACACGGGUGGGAGAUGGGGACAUCGGAGUUCCUGACAGAAUGUUCUCUGAUUUUCUAUAUGCUUGACAUUUUCAUCACAAAAUGGUUUUUGUGUUUUGAAUACAGCAUGGAUCCCUAAUUCCCAUACUUGUCUGUCUGUCAGUGGCCUGAACCCAGCCCGGUGCAGUGGAUCCGCCCUCUACGCUGUCUGGGUGCCUCCCCGAGGGUGCACCCCAGGAGAGCAAGAGCAGUGUCUGUGCUGUGUAUCUCACGUGUUUCUGUGGAAUGGAUGUCUGCAAAGAAGAUCCUGCCGCCCCGCAAGCACUGAAGGAGUAUUGGCUGAAUGAAUGAAAGGUCCGAAUAACUGGGUCCCGCAGUUCUGGCCGAGUGUUGAUAAGCCGUGGGUGACAGAGAGGGCAUGGCAGGCCAGGAGCUCGCUGGAGCAAAGGCCCACGCAGCAAGCCCCACUCAGAGGUGAGUGCAGGGUGCAGCCCCAACCAGUCAUCAGUGACAACGCACUGGCCCAGCGAGCCGGCGUGAGCGCUUUUUAAUAACUUAGGUUUCACAGACGCAGCACUGACAACAUUUAUUUUCUAUCGCUCUGGCAGGGUCAGUCUCCUGCCAUGGCUGUGAAAAGCGAGGCUCUCCACUUCAGUCUCAGCUCAUUAAUUGAAGAAAGCUGGCCAUCCUGGGCCUUGUGCAGGGCGGCCCCAAAUGGAUGCUGACACAUUUCUGAGGAUUUGAAGGAGACAAAAGAAAUCAAUUAGAGGACAGCUUGGAAUUCCAGCUGGGAAUCCGUAGAGGCUGCAUUUCCCCGUAUUCCCUAGCAAGAGAGGGACAAGGAAGUGUCUCCUGCCCAGGACCACGCCAAGACCUAGGGCCAGGGCAGGAGUCUGGGAUACUUUGCUAUCAGGUGGCCAUGGCUGCACCAUGUCUGGGCCCCGGGCCAGCCUUCCUGAAAGAACCCACAGAGCACUGCUGGCUCAGGCGGAGGCCCAGAGACUGAGGACAUCUUCCAAGGCUUGCGUGGUGCAGCUGGAUGGACACCCUCAUAGCACAUGUCACCCAGACAGCAGGGACAGCGGUGACAAUGUAGCACUGCAAAGCUCUUGGGAGUGGACACACAGCUUCCACAUCACAGAGAACCUCCUGCCCUCUUAAUACUGACUAGAGAAUGGGAAACCGGGUAGGGCUCAGAAACAGAGGCGCACUUGGAAGGAAGCGAAACACCCACCUUCGAGUAGCCGAGUAGGGAUGUAGGGGCAGGCAGUGGAGCCCAGACGCCUCCCUCGCAUCCACGGGCAGGGGCCUGGCCCAGGUGAGGUGCAGGUCUCCGCUCCCCGUUUCCUGCCCUGCUUUGGUACUUGUCAUCACGGACACCCAAACCAGGCCAGGGCGAUCUCUGUAUGCUCCCACAGGCUUCUAGAAACAUGGGUGACCCCCGCGGCCUCCUGUGACUCCCGCCUUCCAGGCCUGCCUCUCCUGUUCAAGCUGCUCUCUGUCUCUGGAAUACUAAUUAGUCUGGGAGGCAGGAGCGGCUGAUUUCUCCUAGGAGAAGGCAGAAUUGAACAUAAAUGUGUCUAGUAUAAUAAUUCCUUUUGUCAUAACACGCUGAAUUUCUCGGAGGGCCUCACGUUUGCUGUCUUGUUUGAAACAAGCAGUAGCUCUGUGAGCUGCCUGGGAUGGCUGCGAGUCUCUCCUCCCCUCACGCAGAGGGAACGCAGGCGCUGGGCGGUUCUGGGUCUUGUCCGACAUCCUGUUUUCUGCCCUUUUCACUCUCUGAAGUUUAAAAACAUAAUGUCCAUUGUUAUCCUCACUUUUAGAAUGAGAGGCUUGGAGGGGAUGGUUGGGAACCAUUUUUAUUUCUGUUUUAAAGAAACUGAUUGUGGGGCCAGCACUGUGGAGUAGUGAGUGAGGCUGCCACCCACCUGCAGCACCAGCAUCCCAUAUGGGUGCUGGUUCGAGACCUGGCUGCUCCACUUCCCAUCCAGCUCUCUGCUAAGGCCUGGGAAAGCAGUGGAAGAUGGCUCAAGUUUUUGGGCCUCUGCACCCAUGUGGGAGACCUGGAAGAAGCACCUGGCUUUGGAUCGGUGAAACUCCUGCCAUUGUGGCCAUCUGGGGAGUGAACCAGUGGAGGGAAGACCGACCUCUCUCUCUCUCUCUCUCUCUCUCUGUAACUCUGCCUUCAAAUAAAUAAAUAAAUCUUAAACA
ensembl:lncRNA